rnacentral:rRNA from 1 species
AGUCGAAGGUAGACAGAGAGCUUGCUCUCGGGUGACGAGUGGCGGACGGGUGAGUAAUGUCUGGGAAACUGCCUGAUGGAGGGGGAUAACUACUGGAAACGGUAGCUAAUACCGCAUAACGUCGCAAGACCAAAGAGGGGGACCUUCGGGCCUCUUGCCAUCAGAUGUGCCCAGAUGGGAUUAGCUAGUAGGUGGGGUAACGGCUCACCUAGGCGACGAUCCCUAGCUGGUCUGAGAGGAUGACCAGCCACACUGGAACUGAGACACGGUCCAGACUCCUACGGGAGGCAGCAGUGGGGAAUAUUGCACAAUGGGCGCAAGCCUGAUGCAGCCAUGCCGCGUGUAUGAAGAAGGCCUUCGGGUUGUAAAGUACUUUCAGCGGGGAGGAAGGUGUUGUGGUUAAUAACCACAGCAAUUGACGUUACCCGCAGAAGAAGCACCGGCUAACUCCGUGCCAGCAGCCGCGGUAAUACGGAGGGUGCAAGCGUUAAUCGGAAUUACUGGGCGUAAAGCGCACGCAGGCGGUCUGUCAAGUCGGAUGUGAAAUCCCCGGGCUCAACCUGGGAACUGCAUUCGAAACUGGCAGGCUAGAGUCUUGUAGAGGGGGGUAGAAUUCCAGGUGUAGCGGUGAAAUGCGUAGAGAUCUGGAGGAAUACCGGUGGCGAAGGCGGCCCCCUGGNACAAGACUGACGCUCANGUGCGAAAGCGUNGGGGAGCAACANGAUUAGAUACCCUGGUAGUCCACCCGUNAACGAUGUCGAUUUGGAGUGUGCCCCUUGAGCGUGGCUUCGGAGCUAACGCGUUAAAUCGACCGCCUGGGGAGUACGGCCGCAAGGUUAAAACUCAAAUGAAUUGACGGGGGCCCGCACAAGCGGUGGAGCAUGUGGUUUAAUUCGAUGCAACGCGAAGAACCUUACCUGGUCUUGACAUCCACAGAACUUAGCAGAGAUGGAUUGGUGCCUUCGGGAACUGUGAGACAGGUGCUGCAUGGCUGUCGUCAGCUCGUGUUGUGAAAUGUUGGGUUAAGUCCCGCAACGAGCGCAACCCUUAUCCUUUGUUGCCAGCGGUUAGGCCGGGAACUCAAAGGAGACUGCCAGUGAUAAACUGGAGGAAGGUGGGGAUGACGUCAAGUCAUCAUGGCCCUUACGACCAGGGCUACACACGUGCUACAAUGGCGCAUACAAAGAGAAGCGACCUCGCGAGAGCAAGCGGACCUCAUAAAGUGCGUCGUAGUCCGGAUUGGAGUCUGCAACUCGACUCCAUGAAGUCGGAAUCGCUAGUAAUCGUAGAUCAGAAUGCUACGGUGAAUACGUUCCCGGGCCUUGUACACACACGCCCGUCACACCAUGGGAGUGGGUUGCAAAAGAAGUAGGUAGCUUAACCUUCGGGAGGGCGCUUACCAC